ACGAACGCUGGCGGCGUGCUUAACACAUGCAAGUCGAACGAAAGGACGGGAAGAGCUUGCUCUUUCCGGAAUUGAGUGGCAAACGGGUGAGUAACACGUAAACAACCUGCCUUCAGGAUGGGGACAACAGACGGAAACGACUGCUAAUACCGAAUAAGUUCCAAGAGCCGCAUGGCCCAUGGAAGAAAAGGUGGCCUCUACCUGUAAGCUAUCGCCUGAAGAGGGGUUUGCGUCUGAUUAGCUGGUUGGAGGGGUAACGGCCCACCAAGGCGACGAUCAGUAGCCGGUCUGAGAGGAUGAACGGCCACACUGGAACUGAGACACGGUCCAGACUCCUACGGGAGGCAGCAGUGGGGAAUCUUCCGCAAUGGGCGAAAGCCUGACGGAGCAACGCCGCGUGAGUGAUGACGGCCUUCGGGUUGUAAAACUCUGUGAUCCGGGACGAAAAGGCAGAGUGCGAAGAACAAACUGCAUUGACGGUACCGGAAAAGCAAGCCACGGCUAACUACGUG
rnacentral:rRNA from 1 species